rnacentral:sRNA from 1 species
GUUCCGUAGGGNUAACCUUGCGGAAGGAUCAUUACCGAGUGAGGGCCCUCUGGGUCCAACCUCCCACCCGUGUUUAUUUUACCUUGUUGCUUCGGCGGGCCCGCCUUAACUGGCCGCCGGGGGGCUUACGCCCCCCGGCCCGCGCCCGCCGAAGACACCCUCGAACUCUGUCUGAAGAUUGUAGUCUGAGUGAAAAUAUAAAAUAUUUAAAACUUUCAACAACGGAUCUCUUGGUUCCGGCAUCGAUGAAGAACGCAGCGAAAUGCGAUUCGUAAUGUGAAUUGCAAAUUCAGUGAAUCAUCGAGUCUUUGAACGCACAUUGCGCCCCCUGGUAUUCCGGGGGGCAUGCCUGUCCGAGCGUCAUUGCUGCCCUCAAGCACGGCUUGUGUGUUGGGCCCCGUCCUCCGAUCCCGGGGGACGGGCCCGAAAGGCAGCGGCGGCACCGCGUCCGGUCCUCGAGCGUAUGGGGCUUUGUCACCCGCUCUGUAGGCCCGGCCGGCGCUUGCCGAUCAACCCAAAUUUUUAUCCAGGUGACCUCGGAUCAGGNAGGANCCCCA